UACGUAGGGUGCGAGCGUUGUCCGGAAUUAUUGGGCGUAAAGGGCUCGUAGGCGGUUUGUCGCGUCGGGAGUGAAAUCCACUGGCUUAACUGGUGGCUUGCUUUCGAUACGGGCAGACUGGAGGUAUGCAGGGGAGAACGGAAUUCCUGGUGUAGCGGUGAAAUGCGCAGAUAUCAGGAGGAACACCAGUGGCGAAGGCGGCCCGCUGGGCAGUGGCUGACGCUGAGGCGCGACAGCGUGGGGAGCAAACAGG
rnacentral:rRNA from 1 species